UACGGGGGGGGCAAGCGGUUGUUCGGAAUUACUGGGCGUAAAGGGCUACGUAGGCGGCCAACUAAGUCGGAUGUGAAAUCCCCAGGCUCAACUUGGGAACUGCAUCCGAUACUGGAUGGCUUGAAUUCGGGAGAGGGAUGCAGAAUUCCAGGUGUAGCGGUGAAAUGCGUAGAUAUCUGGAGGAAUACCGGUGGCGAAGGCGGCAUCCUGGACCGACAUUGACGCUGAGGAGCGAAAGCUAGGGGAGCGAAUGGG
rnacentral:rRNA from 1 species